rnacentral:tRNA from 1 species
AGCCCCGUAGUUCAGUGGUCAAGAAUUCAAGGUUUUGGACCUUGAGACCCAGGUUCGAAUCCUGGCGGGGCUA